AAGCAAAUGAGGACUCACCAUCCUCCCUGCCCACAACACCCUCUCCCUGGGACCAGAGACGCACUACCUUCCUGAGGCUAAGCAUCCCCUCAUCCCGUCUCCCCUCAGGCCUCCUAGUACCUAUGAGGAGAGACCACAGGUCUGGCUGAGGACACCUUCAAGGCACCUUAGGUCAGCCUGAGGACGGGACACCUGCUUUAUAUAUAGGACGCAGGUCCUGGAUCAUUCGGGACUAUGACUUCAUGGCUGUACGUGGGUUACACCUCUGAUGAGGUGUCCGUCUUCCACAAUCCCUCAGCAGGGGUUGCCCGGCACACGAGAUCAUAGAUUCGCUUCUCCUGUGCGUGAGAGGAGAGAGAAGUUGAGAGAGCUACCAGGAGGCCCUGGUACGGAAUCCCUUUAGGCAAAGUGCACAAAUCCUGUGACCUCCUGAUUGAGGAGGCCACAGACUGCUCCCCUUGCUGGGGACACAAAGGCCGGAUCCCCCACCAGGGGGAACCAUUGACUUCUUGGCUUCUGUGCCAGGACUACAUUCAUUCACUCACCCAUUCAGACAUAGGUUUUGGUCAACUGUGUUUUCCAAAGCUCACCUGGGCAGCAUCUCCUGUCCUACAUGCUCUUCUACAAGAGAAGAGCGUGCUUCUUAUGCUUCUCCAUCAGGAGGUGGUGUCUAAUUCCCUCCCCUUGCAUCUGGCUGGACUUAUGGUUUGCUUGUAUCCAACAAAUGAAACUCAAGUGAUGCUGCAUAGCUUCCCAGGCUAGCUUGGAAAAGGCCGAGCAGAUUCCACCUGGUUCUCUUGGAACACGUGCUCUGGGAGGCCAUCUGCUAUGUGAAAAGUCCUCCUACACUGAGACCUCCAGGCUGGAGAGCAUGUUUGGUGCUCUGUCAACAGUCCCAGCUAAGCUCAGCCUCCCAGCCAUGCUGGUCAAGGGGCUGGACAGGGGGAUGAAGAAGCCACCUUGGAUGCUGGUCUUCCAGCCCCCUGCUGCGGGAGUCACCCAACUGAGGCCCCACUAGGACCCAGACAUCGGGGACAAAGACAAGCCAACCCGUUGUACCCUGUCCAGAUUCCAGACCCACAAAAUCUGCAAGCAUAAUAAAACAGUUGUUUUUCACCAC